rnacentral:lncRNA from 1 species
CCGCCCCCGCCCCGAGUGGGGCGGAGCCCAACUAAAGUCUUAGCCAAGAAUUCUAGCAGCUGAUUUACCCGAACUGUGAACAGUGCGUCCUAGGGAAAGGAAACUGAAACCAGGGUGUGUGGAGACACCAAGGACUCCAUAGAAAGGGUGGGACCUGCAUCCUUACGCUUUAGGAUAGGGAGGGAAGAGCUGAGGUAAUACUGGUAUUUUUGAGGAUAUGAAUGAUAAAUAUUGUGCGUUCAUGAUAUCACUUUUUAAUUUCUAUAACCACUUGUUCAGGCGAAAGUUGGCCACAUUAGAGUGUAAAAGCUAAGUUUCAAGAAGGAAAUUACUGGCAAGUGGUGACAGCACCCCAAACCAUCCACCCAUCCAUCCACACUCCUCCUCUUAUCAGAAUUUUCCACUUAUUUGUUGUUCUGUUACUAUCUCUUGUAUGCCAAAAAAACAUAGUUCUUUAAUAAAGGCCUCCCCCAGUUAGAAGUUGUACUUUCAACUUCUGACACCAAAUUGGACAUGGUUGUUUCUUCCACGUCAUCUCUAUAUGUGGGGGCAUCCUUCCGGGUCUCUGGCUGAGAGGUGGUCACCCCUUCCUCG